AGAGUUUGAUCAUGGCUCAGGAUGAACGCUAGCUACAGGCUUAACACAUGCAAGUCGAGGGGAAACGAUAUUGGAAGCUUGCUUCCGAUAGGCGUCGACCGGCGCACGGGUGAGUAACACGUAUCCAACCUGCCGUCUACUCUUGGCCAGCCUUCUGAAAGGAAGAUUAAUCCAGGAUGGCAUCAUGAGUUCACAUGUCCGCAUGAUUAAAGGUAUUUUCCGGUAGACGAUGGGGAUGCGUUCCAUUAGAUAGUAGGCGGGGUAACGGCCCACCUAGUCAACGAUGGAUAGGGGUUCUGAGAGGAAGGUCCCCCACAUUGGAACUGAGACACGGUCCAA
rnacentral:rRNA from 1 species